rnacentral:sRNA from 1 species
AGAAGCCUAAGUGGUGUUUCCUUGUAAGAAGAUACAAAGCCAAAGAUUCAUACGGACUUCGGCUACACCACUAAAGCUUUGUGAAGCAUGAAAAAGCU